rnacentral:rRNA from 1 species
UGCUAGAUCCUGACGUUACCCUAAGAAUCAAGCACCCGGCUACUUCUGUGCCAGCAGCGCGUUAAUACAGAGGGGUGCAAAGCGUUAAUCGAAUUACUGGGCGUAAAGGGUCUGUAGGCGGAUUAUUAAGUCGGAUGUGAAAUCCCCGGGCUCAACCCUGGGAACGGCAUUCGAUACUGGUAGUCUAGAGUGUGCAAGAGGAUGGGGGAAUUCCUGGUGUAGCAGUGAAAUGCGUAGAGAUCAGGAGGAACAUCAAUGGCGAAGGCACCUUUCUGGGGCAACACUGACGCUGAGAGACGAAAGCGUGGGGAGCAAACAGGAUUAGAUACCCUGGUAGUCCACGCCCUAAACGAUGUCAACUAACUGUUCGGAGUCACUAAGAUUCUGAGUAGUGAAGCUAACGCGAUAAGUUGACCGCCUGGGGAGUACGGCCGCAAGGUUGAAACUCAAAGAAAUUGACGGGGGCCCGCACAAGCGGUGGAGUAUGUGGUUUAAUUCGAUGCAACGCGAAGAACCUUACCCGGUCUUGACAUGGUAGGAAUCUUGUAGAGAUACGAGAGUGCCUUCGGGAACCUACACACAGGUGCUGCACGGCUGUCGUCAGCUCGUGUCGUGAGAUGUUGGGUUAAGUCCCGCAACGAGCGCAACCCUUGCCCUUAGUUACCAUCAUUUAGUUGGGGACUCUAAGGGGACUGCCGGUGAUAAACCGGAGGAAGGUGGGGACGACGUCAAGUCAUCAUGGCCCUUAUGACCGGGGCUACACACGUACUACAAUGGUCGGUACAGACGGUCGCAAGCUCGCGAGAGUAAGCUAAUCCGAGAAAACCGAUCGUAGUCCGGAUCGCAGUCUGCAACUCGACUGCGUGAAGUCGGAAUCGCUAGUAAUCGCAAAUCAGAAUGUUGCGGUGAAUACGUUCCCGGGCCUUGUACACACCGCCCGUCACACCAUGGGAGUUUGUUGCAAAAGAAGUAGGUAGCUUAACCGCAAGGAGGGCGCUUACCACUUUGUGGCCGAUGACUGGGGUGAAGUCGUAACAAGGUA